ACGGGAGGCAGCAGUGGGGAAUAUUGCACAAUGGGCGAAAGCCUGAUGCAGCGACGCCGCGUGAGUGAUGAAGUAUUUCGGUAUGUAAAGCUCUAUCAGCAGGGAAGAUAAUGACGGUACCUGACUAAGAAGCACCGGCUAAAUACGUGCCAGCAGCCGCGGUAAUACGUAUGGUGCAAGCGUUAUCCGGAUUUACUGGGUGUAAAGGGAGCGCAGGCGGUACGGCAAGUCUGAUGUGAAAGCCCGGGGCUCAACCCCGGUACUGCAUUGGAAACUGUCGAACUAGAGUGUCGGAGGGGUAAGUGGAAUUCCUAGUGUAGCGGUGAAAUGCGUAGAUAUUAGGAAGAACACCGGAGGCGAAGGCGCCAUACUGGACAGAUACUGACGUUGAGGCUCGAAAGCGUGGGGAGCAAACAGGAUUAGAUACCCUGGUA
rnacentral:rRNA from 1 species